rnacentral:rRNA from 1 species
AUUGAACGCUGGCGGCAUGCCUUACACAUGCAAGUCGAACGGUAACGGGCCUUCGGGUGCCGACGAGUGGCGAACGGGUGAGUAAUACAUCGGAACGUGCCCGAUCGUGGGGGAUAACGAGGCGAAAGCUUUGCUAAUACCGCAUACGAUCUACGGAUGAAAGCAGGGGACCGCAAGGCCUUGCGCGGACGGAGCGGCCGAUGGCAGAUUAGGUAGUUGGUGGGAUAAAAGCUUACCAAGCCGACGAUCUGUAGCUGGUCUGAGAGGAUGAUCAGCCACACUGGGACUGAGACACGGCCCAGACUCCUACGGGAGGCAGCAGUGGGGAAUUUUGGACAAUGGGCGCAAGCCUGAUCCAGCCAUGCCGCGUGCAGGAUGAAGGCCUUCGGGCUGUAAACUGCUUUUGUACGGAACGAAAAGCCUUCUUUUAAUACAGGAGGGUCAUGACGGUACCGUAAGGAUAAGCACCGGCUAACUACGUG